rnacentral:misc_RNA from 1 species
GAUGAAGAACGUAGCGAACUGCGAUAAGUAAUGUGAAUUGCAGAAUUCAGUGAAUCAUCGAGUCUUUGAACGCACAUUGCGCCACCUGGCAUUCCGGGGGGCAUGCCUGUCCGAGCGUCAUUGCUGCCCUUCAAGCCCGGCUUGUGUGUUGGGUCGUCGUCCCCCCCGGGGGACGGGCCCGAAAGGCAGCGGCGGCACCGCGUCCGGUCCUCGAGCGUAUGGGGCUUUGUCACCCGCUCGAUUAGGGCCGGCCGGGCGCCAGCCGGCGUCUCCAACCUUCUAUUUUACCAGGUUGACCUCGGAUCAGGUAGGGAUACCCGCUGAACUUAAGCAUAUCAAUAAGCGGAGGA